rnacentral:rRNA from 1 species
AUUGAACGCUGGCGGAAUGCUUUACACAUGCAAGUCGAACGGCAGCACGGACUUCGGUCUGGUGGCGAGUGGCGAACGGGUGAGUAAUGUAUCGGAACGUGCCCAGUCGUGGGGGAUAACGUAGUGAGAAUUACGCUAAUACCGCAUACGAUCUAUGGAUGAAAGCGGGGGAUCGCAAGACCUCGCGCGAUUGGAGCGGCCGAUAUCAGAUUAGGUAGUUGGUGGGGUAGAGGCCCACCAAGCCAACGAUCUGUAGCUGGUCUGAGAGGACGACCAGCCACACUGGAACCGAGACACGGUCCAGACUCCUACGGGAGGCAGCAGUGGGGAAUUUUGGACAAUGGGCGAAAGCCUGAUCCAGCCAUUCCGCGUGCAGGAUGAAGGCCCUCGGGUUGUAAACUGCUUUUGUACAGAACGAAAAGGUUUCUACUAAUACUAGGAGCUCAUGACGGUACUGUAAGAAUAAGCACCGGCUAACUACGUGCCAGCCGCCGCAGUAA